rnacentral:rRNA from 1 species
UAUGUGUCACACAGGACUGCUGGUAUUAAGCCGGAGGAAGUGGGACGACGUCAAGUCAGCAUGACCUUUAUAUCCAGGGCUACACACACGCUACAAUGGUCAGUACAAUGGGUUGCCAAGCCGCGAGGCGGAGCCAAUCCUAAAAAGCUGGCCUCAGUUCAGAUUGCAGUCUGAAACUCGACUGCAUGAAGUCGGAGUUGCUAGUAAACGCAGGUCAGCUAUACUGCGUUGAAUACGUUCCCGGGGCUU